UACGAGGGGGGCGAGCGUUGUUCGGAGUUAUUGGGCGUAAAGGGUGCGUAGGCGGUUUGGUAAGUCUUAUGUGAAAUCUAUGGGCUCAACUCAUAGUCUGCAUGAGAAACUGCCGGGCUUGAGUAUGGGAGAGGUGAGUGGAAUUCCUGGUGUAGCGGUGAAAUGCGUAGAUAUCAGGAGGAACACCUGUGGCGAAAGCGGCUCACUGGACCAUAACUGACGCUGAUGCACGAAAGCUAGGGGAGCAAACAGG
rnacentral:rRNA from 1 species